GUGACUGCGUACCUUUUGUAUAAUGGGUCAGCGACUUAUAUUCUGUAGCAAGGUUAACCGAAUAGGGGAGCCGGAGGGAAACCGAGUCUUAAUUGGGCGUUAAGUUGCAGGGUAUAGACCCGAAACCCGGUGAUCUAGCCAUGGGCAGGUUGAAGGUUGGGUAACACUAACUGGAGGACCGAACCGACUAAUGUUGAAAAAUUAGCGGAUGACCUGUGGCUGGGGGUGAAAGGCCAAUCAAACCGGGAGAUAGCUGGUUCUCCCCGAAAGCUAUUUAGGUAGCGCCUCGUGAAUUCAUCUCCGGGGGUAGAGCACUGUUUCGGCUAGGGGGCCAUCCCGGCUUACCAACCCGAUGCAAACUGCGAAUACCGGAGAAUGUUAUCACGGGAGACACACGGCGGGUGCUAACGUCCGUCGUGAAGAGGGAAACAACCCAGACCGCCAGCUAAGGUCCCAAAGUCAUGGUUAAGUGGGAAACGAUGUGGGAAGGCCCAGACAGCCAGGAUGUUGGCUUAGAAGCAGCCAUCAUUUAAAGAAAGCGUAAUAGCUCACUGGUCGAGUCGGCCUGCGCGGAAGAUGUAACGGGGCUAAACCAUGCACCGAAGCUGCGGCAGCGACACUCAGGUGUUGUUGGGUAGGGGAGCGUUCUGUAAGCCUGUGAAGGUGGCCUGUGAGGGUUGCUGGAGGUAUCAGAAGUGCGAAUGCUGACAUAAGUAACGAUAAAGCGGGUGAAAAGCCCGCUCGCCGGAAGACCAAGGGUUCCUGUCCAACGUUAAUCGGGGCAGGGUGAGUCGACCCCUAAGGCGAGGCCGAAAGGCGUAGUCGAUGGGAAACGGGUUAAUAUUCCCGUACUUGGUGUUACUGCGAAGGGGGGACGGAGAAGGCUAUGUUGGCCGGGCGACGGUUGUCCCGGUUUAAGCGUGUAGGUGUGUGUUCCAGGUAAAUCCGGUUCACUUUAACACUGAGGCGUGAUGACGAGGCACUACGGUGCUGAAGCAACAAAUGCCCUGCUUCCAGGAAAAGCCUCUAAGCAUCAGGUAACAUCAAAUCGUACCCCAAACCGACACAGG
rnacentral:rRNA from 1 species